UACGUAGGGUGCAAGCGUUAAUCGGAAUUACUGGGCGUAAAGCGUACGCAGGCGGCUAUGUAAGACAGGUGUGAAAUCCCCGGGCUUAACCUGGGAACUGCAUUUGUGACUGCAUAGCUAGAGUCUGUCAGAGGGGGGUGGAAUUCCACGUGUAGCAGUGAAAUGCGUAGAGAUGUGGAGGAACACCGGUGGCGAAGGCGGGUUCUCUGGGGCCGUGUGCUG
rnacentral:rRNA from 1 species